AGAACGAACGCUGGCGGCGUGGAUAAGACAUGCAAGUCGAACGGGAUAUUUUCUGUAGCAAUACAGGAGAUGUUCAGUGGCGUAAGGGUGCGUAACACGUGGGCAACCUGCCCCUAGCACUGGGAUAACUCCGGGAAACCGGGGCUAAUACCGGAUAUGACCUUUGAGGGCAUCCUCGAAGGUGUAAAGGAUUCUGGCUAGGGAUGGGCCCGCGGCCUAUCAGCUUGUUGGUGGGGUAAUGGCCUACCAAGGCGACGACGGGUA
rnacentral:rRNA from 1 species